UACGGAGGGGGCUAGCGUUAUUCGGAAUUACUGGGCGUAAAGCGCACGUAGGCGGCUUUGUAAGUCAGAGGUGAAAGCCUGGAGCUCAACUCCAGAACUGCCUUUGAGACUGCAUCGCUUGAAUCCAGGAGAGGUGAGUGGAAUUCCGAGUGUAGAGGUGAAAUUCGUAGAGAUCGGGAGGAACACCAGUGGCGAAGGCGGCUCGCUGGGCCGGACCUGACGCUGAGGCGCGAAGGCGUGGGGAGCGAACGGG
rnacentral:rRNA from 1 species